GACGAACGCUGGCGGCGUGCUUAACACAUGCAAGUCGAACGGAAAGGCCCUGCUUUUGUGGGGUGCUCGAGUGGCGAACGGGUGAGUAACACGUGAGUAACAUGCCCUUGACUUUGGGAUAACUUCAGGAAACUGGGGCUAAUACCGGAUAGGAGCUCCUGCUGCAUGGUGGGGGUUGGAAAGUUUCGGCGGUUGGGGAUGGACUCGCGGCUUAUCAGCUUGUUGGUGGGGUAGUGGCUUACCAAGGCUUUGACGGGUAGCCGGCCUGAGAGGGUGACCGGCCACAUUGGGACUGAGAUACGGCCCAGACGCCUACGGGAGGCAGCAGUGGGGAAUAUUGCACAAUGGGCGGAAGCCUGAUGCAGCAACGCCGCGUGCGGGAGGACGGCCUUCGGGUUGUAAACCGCUUUCGCCUGUGACGAAGCGUGAGUGGCGGUAAUGGGUAAAGAAGCACCGGCUAACUACGU
rnacentral:rRNA from 1 species